UUGAGUUUUUGACUCUUCGUCUUAUUUAAAAUUUUUUAUAAUUAAUAUUUUUAUUAUUACUACGUCAUAAAGUAAUUUACGUGCGACUAAUUUAUUUUAAAUUUUUAAUAAAUUUUUUAAAUAAGACGGAUACUCAAACGCUGGACCUAGAAAACCCAG
rnacentral:pre_miRNA from 1 species